rnacentral:misc_RNA from 1 species
CACAGACAGUCAAGACAAUAUAUUUUUUCUGUUUUUGGGGUUUAGCUCAACCAAAAAGGCUACAAUUAUAAAAGGUAUCAUGAAGAAUCUUUGCAUGUCUGUUAUAGUUAUUCUCCCUUUCUUUUCUCUUCUGUUUUAAUUUGAUUUUUGUCUUUGGACCAUUUUUUAUGAAUGGGAUUGCUUUCAGAUUAUAAUUGCCAUGUCUUACCUCAAUGAGAAUUAUAUCGUGUAUUGAUGAGAAAAUGGAUUUAUUUUUUCUUUUUCAUUGCUAAAAUUGGAAUCUUUCAAUCAGAAGUGAGGAAAAGUAUUACGUUUACACCUUGUAAGAAUAUGUGGAAAGUGGGUUUUUAUUGUUGCUUUGCUUUUGUUCUCUUUUCUCGAGUCCAAUGAUGAAUAUUAUGCUACUUUGCUGGAUAUGCUGGUUUUCAAAUUGAGUUUUUAUUCUUUGAUUCACUUUAGUGGUUGCUGGUUAUCUUGUUGAUUUUUGCAUUUCUUCUACGGGAUCUUAAAAAGAAAAGAGAAACCUAAUCUUCGGAUAAUAUUGAUUAAUCUAACCUCGUUAAUCUUUGUGAUAGAUGCUCAAUCACCGAAACUUUGUAUGAUGCUCAAUCGCUGAAACUUCGUAUUCAUCAAGCCCCGUCCCAGUCAACCGGAAAAGAUUUUUUUUUCCCCCCUUCUUCCAAUUCUCUGUGGAGUUUAUUGUUUUCAUCUAGUUUCAUGUUCUUGUUGAUUGUUUUGAGUAUGUUUCAGUAAUUUGGACAGAUGAGAUUUGAAGACUGAAGAUCUGAAAUAUUCCUAGAGGUUAUAGUUUUGAAAACUUCGGGUGGAAUUAGAUCAUCUUUUUAUUAGUAAGAUACAGCAGAAUAAGUGUUUCUAAGUGGGAUUUUGAGGAUAGAUCAUCAUGG